rnacentral:rRNA from 1 species
AACGAACGCUGGCGGCAUGCCUAACACAUGCAAGUCGAACGAGCCCUUCGGGUCUAGUGGCGCACGGGUGCGUAACGCGUGGGAACCUGCCCUUAGGUUCGGAAUAACUCCCCGACAGGGGUGCUAAUACCGGAUAAUGUCUUCGGACCAAAGAUUUAUCGCCUUUGGAUGGGCCCGCGUUGGAUUAGCUAGUUGGUAGGGUAAAAGCCUACCAAGGCGACGAUCCAUAGCUGGUCUGAGAGAAUGAUCAGCCACACUGGGACUGAGACGCGGCCCAGACUCCUACGGGAGGCAGCAGUGGGGAAUAUUGGACAGUGGGCGAAAUCCUGAUCCAGCAAUGCCGCGUGAGUGAUGAAGGCCUUAGGGUUGUAAAGCGCUUUUACCCGGGAUGAUAAUGACAGUACCGGGAGAAUAAGCUCCGGCUAACUCCGUG